GACGAACCGUGCGAACGUUAUUCGGAUUCACUGGGCUUAAAGGGCGCGUAGGCGGCCCGCCAAUUCGGGGUGAAAUCUUUCGGCUUAACCGGAAAAGUGCCUCGGAUACUGCGAGCCUUGAGGGAGGUAGGGGCAUGUGGAACUUCCGGUGGAGCGGUGAAAUGUGUUGAUAUCGGAAGGAACACCGGUGGCGAAAGCGGCGCACUGGGGCUUAACUGACGCUGAGGCACGAAAGCCAGGGUAGCGAACGGG
rnacentral:rRNA from 1 species